CGCGAAUUCGCCCUUCGGGGUGCACCAGGCGCGAAAACUUUGCAAUACACGAAAGUGUGACAGGGUCAUCCCGAGUGCCGACCGCUGAGGUUGGCUUUUACCCAGUCUAGAAAGCUGGGGGAAUAAGGAGAGGGCAAGUCUGGUGUCAGCCGCCGCGGUAAUACCAGCUCUCCGAGUGGUGUGGACGUUUAUUGGGCCUAAAGCAUCCGUAGCUGGCUGAACAAGUCCCCUGUUAAACCCACCGAUUUAAUCGUUGGUCUGCGGGGGAUACUGCUCGGCUAGGGGACGGGAGAGGCAGACGGUAUUCCCGGGGUAGGGGUGAAAUCCUAUAAUCCCGAGAAGACCACCAGUGGCGAAGGCUGUCUGCUAGAACGCGCCCGACGGUGAGGGAUGAAAGCUGGGGGAGCGAACCGGAUUAGAUACCCGGGUAGUCCCAGCUGUAAACGAUGCAGACUAGGUGUUUGGACGGCCACGUGCCGUUCUAGUGCCGCAGGGAAGCUGUUAAGUCUGCCGCCUGGGGAGUACGAUCGCAAGAUUGAAACUUAAAGGAAUUGGCGGGGGAGCAC
rnacentral:rRNA from 1 species